rnacentral:rRNA from 1 species
CCUACGGGAGGCAGCAGUGGGGAAUAUUGCACAAUGGGGGAAACCCUGAUGCAGCGACGCCGCGUGAGUGAAGAAGUAUUUCGGUAUGUAAAGCUCUGUCAGCAGGGAAGAAAAUGACGGUACCUGACCAAGAAGCCCCAGCUAACUACGGGCCAGCAGCCGCGGAAAUACGUAGGGGGCAAGCGUUAUCCGGAUUUACUGGGUGUAAAGGGCGCGUCGGCGGGAGUGCAAGUCUGGAGUGAAAGGCGGGGGCUCAACCCCCGGACUGCUCUGGAAACUGUCCGGCGUGAGUGCAGGAGAGGUAAGUGGAAUGCGUGGUGUAGCGGUGAAAUGCGUAGAUAUUAGGAGGAACACCGGUGGUGAAGGCGGCUUACUGGACUGUAACUGACGUUGAGGCUCGAAAGCGUGGGGAGCAAACAGGAUUAGAUACCCUAGUAGUC